AUUCCGUGAUGAGGGCACUUCCAUCAUAAUUAUUUGUACCUUUCCCAUGCCUCAUACAAUGACUUGUCAUCCAUUUGUUGGAAAGCAGUGAUCUUGUUCCUCAACUU
rfam:Gossypium raimondii chromosome 5, whole genome shotgun sequence.